UACAGAGGUCUCAAGCGUUGUUCGGAUUCAUUGGGCGUAAAGGGUGUGUAGGUGGCGCGCUAAGUCGGGUGUGAAAUUUCGGAGCUUAACUCCGAAACUGCAUUCGAUACUGGCGUGCUUGAGGACUGGAGAGGAGACUGGAAUUUACGGUGUAGCAGUGAAAUGCGUAGAUAUCGUAAGGAAGACCAGUGGCGAAGGCGGGUCUCUGGACAGUUCCUGACACUGAGACACGGAAGGCCAGGGGAGCAAACGGG
rnacentral:rRNA from 1 species